AGUAAAAGUGUACUUUCAAGGAAAAAGAAAACCACUAAGUCUACUAAGAAUAACAAUAAAAACUUCAACUCUUCAACUAUACAGAAGACUUUACGCAAAACUUACAAUAAUACUAAAAAUGAUCUGCCCGUUAAAUAUAAUGAAAAACUUUGCAAAAGCUUAGAUUCUCACAUGCCUGUUUACCAGUCAUUCUACAAUGGAAUGAUUGCUCAGAUUAAUAAUAAUAACCAACUUGUUUUAUUAAAUGCCGGCAUGCAAACUCAAGG